rnacentral:rRNA from 1 species
GAUGAACGCUGGUGGCGUGCCUAAUACAUGCAAGUCGAACGCGCAGCGAAAGGUGCUUGCACCUUUCAAGCGAGUGGCGAACGGGUGAGUAACACGUGGAUAACCUGCCUCAAGGCUGGGGAUAACACCUGGAAACAGAUGCUAAUACCGAAUAAAACUUAGUAUCGCAUGAUACAAAGUUAAAAGGCGCUACGGCGUCACCUAGAGAUGGAUCCGCGGUGCAUUAGUUAGUUGGUGGGGUAAAGGCUUACCAAGACGAUGAUGCAUAGCCGAGUUGAGAGGCUGAGCGGCCACAUUGGGACUGAGACACGGCCCAAACUCCUACGGGAGGCUGCAGUAGGGAAUCUUCCACGAUGGGCGCAAGCCUGAUGGAGCAACGCCGCGUGUGUGAUGAAGGCUUUCGGGUCGUAAAGCACUGUUGUAUGGGAAGAAAUGCUAAAAUAGGGAAUGAUUUUAGUUUGACGGUACCAUACCAGAAAGGGACGGCUAAAUACGUGCCAGCAGCCGCCGUAAAAC